rnacentral:rRNA from 1 species
CACGCAUGACACACUGCAUAUCAAUAAGCGGAGGAAAAGAAACUAACAAGGAUUCCCCUAGUAACGGCGAGUGAAGCGGGAAGAGCUCAAAUUUGAAAUCUUAAAGGGUUUCCCUUUACGAAUUGUAGUUUAUAAGAAGAGUUUUCUGUUAGUAGAGUGGCUAAAAGUUCUUUGGAAUAGGACAUCAUAGAGGGUGAGAAUCCCGUAUUUGGUCAUUCUUCUAGCGUUCGUGAUACACUUUCAACGAGUCGGAUUGUUUGGGAAUGCAGUCCAAAAUGGGUGGUAAAUCUCAUCUAAAGCUAAAUAUUGGCGAGAGACCGAUAGCGAACAAGUACCGUGAGGGAAAGAUGAAAAGAACUUUGAAAAGAGAGUUAAACAGUACGUGAAAUAGUCAAAAGGGAAGCGUUUGACACCAGUGUUGUUUUUCCGAAAAUCAAUUAUGAAUGUUUUGUUUUUGAGGAGUUAUGACUUCAUCGGCUUGCUUCUUUCUUUACGAAACUUUCUUAAUGCACUUUUCGGUUAACAAGUCAACAUCAAUUUCUUUUGUUGUAAAAGGGUAUGAGGAAGGUGGCUUUCUUUUCGGAGAAAGUGUUUAUAGCCUUGUGCCUCUGCAAUCGGAGAGAUUGAGGUCUGCAGCGUAGAUCCUUCGGGGUUAGAUACAGUUUGUGCUAAGUUAUAGCUUUUCAUAGACAACUUGUUGACUAUGUUUAGUCUUGUAGCUUACUCGCUGAUGCUAUUUUACCUACGCUUAGGAUGUUGACUGAUAUGUAGUCGUA